GGGGAAACCCUGGUGGUCCAAGUGGUGAGAGUGAACUCUAUCAGCCACAGGGGCUGCUAGUGUUCACUCUCGCGAGAUUCAAAACAUUGCCGGGGUAACCAUGGCAACGCUUUAAGCUCACAAGAGGAGAACCCGGCAGAGCUGCAGGUUAGAGCUCCCCUGGUUCCUCUCUCUCCCUCCCCUGCCAGCUUCCAGCAUUACACUACUAGCCGGUGAGGGAGAUCGGCAUGGGAGAGGGAGGCACGGAAAUAUCUUGCGGCAAUUUAUUGCUAGUCCACGAAAGCUUUCACCCGACGGUAUAGGCAGGUGAAAACUUUCGCGGACCGGCAAUAAAUUCUUGAAGACCACUGCUC